rnacentral:tRNA from 1 species
GCCGAGGUGGCGGAAUUGGUAGACGCGCACGCUUGAGGGGCGUGUAUUGAAAGAUGUGCAGGUUCAACUCCUGUCCUCGGCA